rnacentral:rRNA from 1 species
UACGUAGGGUGCGAGCGUUGCCCGGAUUUAUUGGGCGUAAAGGGCGCGUAGGCGGCUCUGCACGUCCGUUGUGAAAUCGCCCGGCUCAACUGGGCGGGGUCAGCGGAUACGGCGGAGCUUGAGCAAGCUAGAGGGCAAUGGAAUUCCCGGUGUAGUGGUGGAAUGCGCAGAUAUCAGGAGGAACACCGAUGGCGAAGGCAGAUCUCUGGGCCGUAACUGACGCUGAGGAGCGAAAGCAUGGGGAGCAAACAGGAUUAGAUACCCGGAGU